rnacentral:tRNA from 1 species
GCCCCAGUAGCUCAGAGCCAGAGCGCCGGUCUUGUAAACCGGAUGUCGAGGGUUAAACUCCCCCCUGGUGCU